CCUACGGGUGGCUGCAGUGGGGAAUAUUGGGCAAUGGGCGCAAGCCUGACCCAGCAACGCCGCGUGAAGGAAGAAGGCUUUCGGGUUGUAAACUUCUUUUGUCAGGGACGAAGCAAGUGACGGUAGCGGACGAAUAAGCAACGGCUAACUCCGGGCCAGCAGCCGCGGUAAUACGUAGGUGGCAAGCGGUAUCCGGAUUUACUGGGUGUAAAGGGCGUGUAGGCGGGACUGCAAGUCAGAUGUGAAAACCACGGGCUCAACCUGUGGCCUGCAUUUGAAACGGUAGUUCUUGAGUACUGGGGAGGCAGACGGAAUUCCUAGUGUAGCGGUGAAAUGCGUAGAUAUUAGGAGGAACCCCAGUGGCGAAGGCGGUCUGCUGGACAGCAACUGACGCUGAGGCGCGAAAGCGUGGGGAGCAAACAGGAUUAGAUACCCUUGUAGUC
rnacentral:rRNA from 1 species